GGACCCGUGGCCUAGUCAGGAUAGGGCAUCGGCCUCCUAAGCCGAGGGUCGGGGGUUCGAAUCCCCCCGGGUCCGCCA
rnacentral:tRNA from 1 species